AAUUUUUUUGGAAUGAGUGGGUUUACUGCUUUAAAAUAUAACGUUUAGAAUAAUUUAUAAAUUCCACUCCUGGACAGGGAGAGAACAAUGCUGUGACUCAUGCAUAUUUUUCCUAAUAUCUGUCUCUAACAAAUGGCUUGUUUGUUUGUUUGAUGACCUUUGCUGAGAGCCUUUGAUAAUAAGGUUAAGAAUUAAGACAUCAUCAGACAGUGGUGCACAGAUGGGCUUUAGCGGAUACUUCAGAAAAAUAGUAUCUUCAUCCUCCAGCUAUUUAUCCAUAAAUCCAGGCCACCUUUCUGUUUUACAAAUAACUUACUUUUUAAUGCUACUGCUACUUUUUGCCAUGAUUAAAAAUUGUCCUGCUAAUCCUGUCCUCUGAGUAAUUGUAUAAAUAAAAGGCACGAGGUGAAGGGACUGAAAUCUCAUAAGGACAAUAGCUUCCCCAGAUAAAACAUGCUGAGUUUUUUAAGGGUCACUUUAAGUUUCUGGUAAGCUUCUUUACAUUGUACCACCACAAGUUUGAAAAUGAAUUAGCUGCUGCAUUGAGUCACCUCAGGAAAUUAAGUUUCUGUGUUUGUGCUAUCUCUGGGACAUGAGCAAUAGGAUUCAUUUUAGUCAGAUGGAAACUAUACUACCAGAAAUAAGGUUCUCCGUACCAUUUCCCCCCCUCCCCCCGAGCUGUUUCAGGUGGUCAAAAAUAACUAAUAAACCAGGGAAGAAAAUAAAACUACUAAUAUCACCCAAGGCUGUAAAGAAAUUAGAGGAAAUUAUCAAAUUGGUCAGCAAGACUGAAAACAAAUGUUUGAACCUGUCCACUCUCAAUUUUGUGUGUGUAUGAAUGCGUGUGUGCAUGUGUGUGUACUGAAUAUUUCUAUCAUAUGUGCAAAUUUGAUCUUUGAAAGAGGCAGAAUCACCAAAAAUCUUUAUGAUUUGUAUUUAGAAAUUCCAGUUUAGAGUGUCCUACCCUUUUCCAAAUCUCUAUCAACCUAUACCCUUAGUUGUGUGGCAUCAUUUUAACAUGUGAAAAACUUUUAAUUCUGCUCUUGUACUUCAGGAUUAAAAUGCAAAAACAGAUUGAUUUAGGCUGAGAUAAUAAUAUAAAAUAUUCUACAUUAAUAUUAAAGACACUUGAGGAUAAAUCAUUUCACAUGUGUUCAGUGACAAUUACAUGAUGAAUAUAUUAACAGUAGUGUUUUCUUAUUUUGCACUGAUGAUUCUAAGAUGAGAGGUUAAGCAAGUUUUCUAAGAUCACAGAGUCAGAAUUAUUGGAACAGAAAAUCAAAGCUAGACCUAUUUGCACUACGAUGGCCCUGGGCCUUAUAUUAUUGCUUUGUUUUGCAUAGAUAGAAAAUAUGGAACAACUGCUGGGGGAAGAAGAGAGAAGAGAAUUAAAGGUCUUGCAACUUGGACAGCUAACAAAAAGGAAGCUAACAAAUAAAUUUGUCAGAACAUGAUUCUCAGUUUCACUUAUUUCGAAUUAAAGUAACUGAACCUCUGUGUUAUUUUGGAUGACAAUGGGCCCAGUGGUUAGCAACUACCGCUAUAAUUUUCUCCUGCAUAAAUAGGGUUUGCAUGGAAUUUAAGUAAAAUUCUGAUACAGCAUCUAAGAAAACUCACUUCAUUCUUUCCUUCAUUGACUGUGGAUGUGAUGGUUGGAGCUCCAAAUACAUCUGUAAGUUCUACAUCAGAUUGUUGGGGAAGAGUGAGGAAUUCUGGAUUUGGAGCUUGAGAUCCUGGAUUCAAGUUCCAACUCUGCAGCUUAUUACCUCUACCACUUUUGAGGAAUAAAAUCCAGUGAGACUCAACAAAUUUUCAAGUUACACACCUCAGAAUGACAGAUUUGGGACCAGAAUCUAGAUCUCGUGUAUCUAAUGGUGUUCUUUGAACUGCAUCCAAGUAUUCUUGUUCAAUAAGGAGGAAUGUGGAACAAAUCAAGUAGGUAGGCAUGAAUAUUUAUUAUUACCAGAGAGUAAGGGAUCCAAAAGUUCUGAGGUGUUAUCUCUUUUUGACACUUACUGCCUAUUAUUGGAACUCAUCUUUUGAAUAAGGUAUGAGAAUGGCAUUAUAUUCUCGCUUAAAUUUUGGUCCUUUUUUAACAAAUUGUUUAGCAUUCUCUGCUACACAUUGAUUUGGUAGAAAACAUAAAGGUUCUGCAUAAUAUCAACCAAUAUUCUAUCAGUUAUGUUUAUGUAAAUGUACAUGACUAAAUUUAUAUUAAAAAUUUAAAAACUAAAAGUAGCUGUGAUUAUCCUAAAAUAGGGCAAAUUUGAAUAUCAAUGUUUAUUUUAACUAAAUGAUGAUUGGCACAAUGACAGACAAAUAAUCUAAUAGAAUAGACUACAGGAAUAGGUGUACACAUGUGCAGUGACUUUAUUUAUGAUAAAGAUGUACCUGCAAAUUAUAGGACAAGAGUGGUUUUUCCCCGUGAAUAGUGCUGGGUCUAAUGUACAUAUAAAAACAGAGGAAAAUCCUCAAUCAGUAGUUGACACACUAGACAAAUUUCAAUUCCAGGUCAAUUCUGUAUCUAAAUAUAAAUGAUAAAUAAUAAGGCUUCUUAAAGAUAAUAACAAAUAUUUUUAUGAAUGAUUACAAUACAGGACAUAAACAAUACUAACAAAAAUAUUAGUAAUGCUUUCAUUAAAAUUGAGAAUUCCCAUUUAUCAAAAGAUACUAUUAUUAAGAGAGGAAGAAGUCAAGUGAAAUAUACCUCCUAUAUUUCAGUAGGUAAAUAUAUUUUCAAUGUAUGUAAUGGUUAGAAGUUUCAUGUUCAAUAUACAUUAAGAGCUCCUCCAAAUGAAUAAAAAUUGGACAGAUGGUCCAAUAGAAAAAUGUAUGAGAGAACUAAACAAACUUCGCACAAGAGGAUCUCCAAAUGGCCAAUAAAUACAUUAUAAUAUGCUUAACUUCAUUCCACAGCAAAUAAAUGAAAUCUCAGUACAAUAGCCUGCAUAUCAACCAUAAUGACUGAAAUUAAAAAUACUAAUAGUACUAAGUACUCAUAGUAAUGUAGAGCAAUCCUAUUUCUAAUGAGACAAUAACUUGUUAAAUCUUUCUAAAGCUUAAUAUGUAUGCACUCUAUAACCUAAGAAUUCCAUUCCAAAGUAUAUUCUCAACAAAUGUGUACAUAUGUGCGCCAAAGGACAUGCACAAAAAUGUCAGAGAAGCAUCAUUUUUUAUAUAUUUUUACUGUGGUGAAAUAACAUUAAAUUUACCAUGAUAACCAUUUUUAAGUGUACAGUUCAAAGUAUGAACUAUAUUUAGAUUUUUGAGCAACUGAUCUCUAAAAAUUUUUCAUCUGAAACUCCAUCCCCAUUAAACACUCUUCCAUAUAUCCCUCCCCCGAUGCUUGGCAACUACCUUUCUGCUAUUUCUAUCCCUCUGACUAAUUCAAAUAUUUUGUAGGAGUAGAACCAUAUAGUAUUUGUCUUUUUGUGACUACCUUAAUUUGCUUAGCAUAAUAUGAUUAAGUUUGGUCCUAUUGUGGCAUAUGAUAGGAUUUAUUUUCUUUAUAAGGCCAAGUAAUCUAUUGUGUGAACAUAUCACAUUUUCUUUGUGUAUUCAACUGUUGAUGAACAUUUGAUUUGCUUCCACCUCUUUUGUGAAUGAUAAUGCUAUGAAUAUGGAUUUGCAAUUAUAACUUGGACAUCCUGCUUUGAAUUCUUUUGGUAAAUACCCAGAAGUGGUAUUGCCAGAUCACAUGGAGCUUCUAUACUAUUCUUUAUAGUCACAAAACCAUUUUACAUUCCGACCAAUAGUGCACAAGGGUUUCAGCUUCUCCACAUCCUUGCUAAUGCUUGUCCUUUCUUUUCAUUUAUUUAUUUUUUGAUAGCAGCCAUCCUAAUAGAUGUGACAUUAUAACCUCAUUGUUGUUUUGAUUUUGUUUCUCCGACAAUUAGUAAUGUUAAACAUCUUUAUAUUUAUUAACUAUUUGUAUAUCUUUUAGAUAUUGCUGAUUCACAUUCUUUGCUCAUUUUUAAUCAACUUUUAUUGUUGUUAAGUUGCAGAAGUUCCUUAUAAAUUCUGGAUAUUAAUCUCUUAUCAGAUAUAUGAUUUGCAAAUAUUUUUUCUUUGUAGAUCGCCCUUUUACUCUGUUGACUGUUUCUUUUGAUGCACAGAAGUUUUUGAGUUUGAUGUGGUCUUGUUUGUCUAUGUUUGCUAAAAGCAGCAUUAUUUUCACUAGCUCCAAGUGGAAACCUCCAAAAUGUCUAUUGUUAGUGGAUGAAUAAAUAAGGUGUGGCAUAUUUAUAUCUUAGAAUAAUAUAUGACAAGAAACAUGAAAUAACUGCUGGUAAAUCAAUAGUAUAAAUCUAUUCCACAAACAUAUAUUCAGUGAAAGAAACCAGCCAACAUCGUAUACUGUAUGCUUCAUUUAUUUAAAGUUUAAAAAUAGGAAAAAUUAAUCAAGUCUAUUAUAAUUCACAGAGAAAAUACCUUUAGUGACAAAGAAAGGGCAUGAGGGAGGCUUCUGGUGUGGCUGCAAUACUAGCUAUUUUUCUUGACUUUGGUGAUAAUCAUCUUUGUAUACUUAUUUUGAGAUAACGAUUUGAACCCUGCUCAUAUGAAUUGAACAUAUUCUGUGUGUAUGCUACGCUUCACUGAAAAAUAUUAAGAAUAAAACUUACCAAGAAAUGAAAAUUUGAGUAUUAUUUCCAUAGCUUGCUCAUAAUCUCUGAAGCUCUACUCCUUUCCUUGUUUAAUACAAUUUUCAAUUCAAACAAACUUUGAUUUCUCUGUAUCUAUUUUUACAACCACACCUUAUAUAAAAUUAAUCCUAUUGUUGAUAUAUAUUACUAUCAGCCAGUUCACAGGAUCACAGAUAUUUGUAGCACAUGGAAGAAAGAAAAAUUUGAAACAUUCCUAGAAAAAAAAUUGUUUAGCUGCAUUUAUGUCACUUGGAGAAGAAUAUAAUCAUUUCUCUACUAAAUUACCUACACAGAUAAUUUAAGGCCUAGAGUGCAAUUAAAUUAGCUUGGUAGACAUUUAAUCACAGGAAUACAAUAUACUCGGAGAUUUGAGAGUGAGCUGAGAGCCUUAUUUGCAGCCUUAUUUCUAAAAGUUUCAUUAAUUUUAAGCCACAUUCUGGUGCGUUUGGCUGCCUAGUUGACAUUGGGAAAGGAACUGAAGGAAAUGGCUUCUAUUUAUUCUGAUCCUUCUAUAUCUGAAAUGGAAUUAUGAUAAUAUUUUUUUAGUAUAUUUUAUAUCUCCAGGCAUCUGGAAAUGAUUUCUCUGAAGCAAUAUACAGACAAAAAUCAAAUAGAUGAUGUUUUUUAAAAAUGUUCUAUCUCAAAUAAAUAACCCAAAUGAACAGAAGUUUAUAUAAGGAGCCUAAAGACAACAUUUAGGUCAUCAACUAAUAUAUGAAUAAAUUGUGGAUACCUAUAGCAACUAUUUAUAAGCAAGAUAAAUUGUAUAUUGGUAUAAAUAGUAAUGAUAUGGAUGGAGAUUUUAAAUUUUUGAUGAGUUCAAAGUAAAUGGUACUAUUCAACUUCUCUCAAUAGUUCAUGUUUGCUUCUAUGGAUAAUAUUUAUAUUUGCUAUUUUUGUGGCAAGUAAUAUAAAUAAUUAUGAACUUAAUAUAGUUUGUGCAGUCCCACAUUUUGUUGCCUUAUUUUUCACUUGAGUUCAUUUCAUCUGCUAAUACAUACUUUGUAUUUUUCUACGUUUCUAUGUUCUUUACUGCAAAAAUAACAUUUUUGAACAGAUAAAUAUAAUGGCACACAAUCAAGGUGGAGUAUAACAAUCUACAUAUUGAUGCUGUAUUAG